rnacentral:misc_RNA from 1 species
GAUGAAGAACGUAGCGAAAUGCGAUAAGUAAUGUGAAUUGCAGAUUUCAGUGAAUCAUCGAAUCUUUGAACGCACCUUGCGCCUUGUGGUAUUCCACAAGGCAUGCCCGUUUGAGUAUCAUUAAAUCAUCAACUCUAAAACCUUUGUGGUUUUUUUUAGAGCUUGGUCUUGAGGGUUUUGCAGGCUUUUUUUUUUUUUUGGAGUCUGCUCCUUUUAAAUGCAUUAGCGAGACUUCCCUAUGCUGAACCGUCUCUUUGACGUGAUAAUUAUCUGCGUCGAAUUUUGGUUCUCGUUGGGCUUGCUUCUAAUCGUCUGUUAAAGACAAAACGGAUUUGGGUGCAUAUAUGCGCCUUUUUCCAAAACCUUUUUUUGAUCUCAAAUCGGGUAGGACUACCCGCUGAACUUAAGCAUAUCAAUAAGCGGAGGA